rnacentral:rRNA from 1 species
GACGAACGCUGGCGGCGCGCUUAACACAUGCAAGUCGAACGGAAAGGCCCUGCUUUCGUUGUGUGCUCGAGUUGCGAAAGGGUGAGUCACACGUGAGUAACGUGCCCUUGACGUUGGGAUAACUUCAGUAAACUGGGGCUAAUACCGGAAAUGCGCUCCUGCUGCAUAGUGGGGGGUGGAAGGUUUCGGCGGAUGGGGAUGGACUUGGGGCUUAUCGGGUUGUUGGUGGGGUAGUGGCUUAGCAAGUCGUUGACGGGUAGCCGGCCUGAGAGGGUGACCGGCGACAUUGGGACUGAGAUACGGCCCGGACGCCGGGGGGAGGAAGCAGUGGGGAGUGGUGCACUAUGGGAGGAAGCCUGAUGGAGCAACGCCGCGCGCGGGGUGGCGGCCUUCUGGUUGUAAACAGGAUUCGACUGUGACGAAGGGUGAGUGACGGUAGUGGGUAAAGAAGCACCGGCUAACUACGUG